rnacentral:rRNA from 1 species
CAGCAGCCGCGGUAAUACGUAGGGGGCAAGCGUUAUCCGGAUUUACUGGGUGUAAAGGGAGCGUAGACGGCAUGGCAAGCCAGAUGUGAAAGCCCGGGGCUCAACCCCGGGACUGCAUUUGGAACUGUCAGGCUAGAGUGUCGGAGAGGAAAGCGGAAUUCCUAGUGUAGCGGUGAAAUGCGUAGAUAUUAGGAGGAACACCAGUGGCGAAGGCGGCUUUCUGGACGAUGACUGACGUUGAGGCUCGAAAGCGUGGGGAGCAAACAGGAUUAGAUACCCUGGUAGUCCNCGC